rnacentral:rRNA from 1 species
GACGGAGGGAGCAAGCGUUGUUCGGAUUUACUGGGCGUAAAGGGCGUCUAGGCGGGCUGAUAAGUCAGAUGUGAAAUACCUCGGCUCAACCGGGGAACUGCAUUUGAUACUGUCGGUCUUGAGUACGGAAGAGGAAAGCGGAAUUCCUGGUGUAGCGGUGAAAUGCGUAGAUAUCAGGAAGAACACCGGUGGCGAAGGCGGCUUUCUGGUCCGUUACUGACGCUGAAGCGCGAAAGUGUGGGGAGCAAACAGGAUUAGAUACCCUGGUAGUCCACACUGUAAACGAUGGAUGCUAGGUGUCGGGGGUAUCGACCCCUCCGGUGCCGAAGCUAACGCAUUAAGCAUCCCGCCUGGGGAGUACGGUCGCAAGGCUGAA